AGCGAACGCUGGCGGCAGGCCUAACACAUGCAAGUCGAACGAACCCUUCGGGGUUAGUGGCGGACGGGUGAGUAACACGUGGGAACGUACCUUUAGGUUCGGAACAACACAGGGGAAACUUGUGCUAAUGCCGAAUGUGCCCUUCGGGGGAAAGAUUUAUCGCCUUUAGAGCGGCCCGCGUCUGAUUAGCUUGUUGGUGAGGUAAAGGCUCACCAAGGCUACGAUCAGUAGCUGGUCUGAGAGGAUGAUCAGCCACACUGGGACUGAGACACGGCCCAGACUCCUACGGGAGGCAGCAGUGGGGAAUCUUGCGCAAUGGGCGAAAGCCUGACGCAGCCAUGCCGCGUGAAUGAUGAAGGUCUUAGGAUUGUAAAAUUCUUUCACCGGGGAAGAUAAUGACGGUACCGAGAAGAAGCCCCGGCGUAACUUCGUGCCAGC
rnacentral:rRNA from 1 species